rnacentral:tRNA from 1 species
UAUGGCAGAUUAGUGCAAUGGAUUUAAGCUUCAUAUAUAAAGUUUUAACUUUUAUUAGAAUAUAUAUAUAUAUAUAUAU